ensembl:lincRNA
AAUGGAAGGUACAUAAUAAAUGGAAAGGAUGCCCUUGCUCUUGUGAGACUAAUAUAUAUUUCUGAAGAGUCUAACGAAAAUCUAACAGUUCCAGACUACACAUGCUUUUAACAACUGAACCAAAGCCAGAUUUCUUCUUUUUAAUAUCUUCAUGCCAGUAGCUAAAAGAACAUCUUGAGACUGAAGGAAAGUUAAAAGGGACCAUGAUCAGCCUUUGCUCAUUAAUUCAAUCAACAAUGGAUAUGGAACUCACCUAUAAAGUGCAGUGGCUUUGAACUCAGAAGUGCUGUCUGAAUGUCAGUUCUGCUGUGCUUUUAACAUGUGGCUAUGAACUUCCCCAUUUCCUCCAAGCCUGCUUCAUUAUCUUCAAGAUAGGACUAACUUUGUCUUAAAAUCAAGAGAUGGAGACUGUGUUGUAGGGAUUAAAAAGAUCAAAGAAUAUGUAUAGUAUCUCUAAAUGGGAGAGAGCUAAGAAUAAUAAUUUUUAAAGUGUGCCCAUUAUGUGAGAAUCCCAUCACCCUAAGUUAACUAAUUGCUAAUUUGGAAUAGGAUACACAACAUGAAGAGUGUCUGCUUGCUUAGGAGCAGAGUGUCCUGUUUGCCCAGUAGACUAGGCUGUGCUUCACACCCAAGGAGCACUCCUGGCAGUGACCCUCUCAGGGAGUGAGUGUGUAAGCUGUGCCAUCCUCAACCCCCAAGUCGUGUGUACUCUCAUGAUCUGCGAAGUGAACGUUAUCUCCUUUUUUAUUGACGAGGCACACAGAGGGCAGCAUGGGACAGAGACAGGCUGGAAUCCAUCUCGGCGACUGCCCAGACCAGGGUGGCAGUGCGCAGGAGUCGAGUCUAGGAACAGCCCGGUGAUUUUAAUUUGGUGCUUGUGCCAAGGCCAGGUUCCAGUCAAAACUGGAGAGCGAGCAGGUGAGACAAGUGAGACUGGACCGGUAGAGAUGGUUCGCUUAGCGCAAUGUGUCCACUUCCAGGUGUUCUCUCCAGAUGUGGCCAGACAGACCACAUGCACAUGGCUGCCUGGACGCUCUGGAGGGGCUUUUCACACACAGUGUGCUCACCAGCGAAUGUGUGUACAGAGAAAAGGAUGCCAAGAAGGGUCAGCUGCAACUGCUGUCCAGGUUGUUAGGCAAAACUUCUUGAUUGGCUGGAAAAAAUACACAAAUCUCAAUUUUCAAGAUUAUCUAUUAAAAUUAAAUCCUGCAGAAAAGACACUGAAUCUUUGUAAAAUGUUUUUUUGGGCAGAGCCAUGCUAGGGAUUGAACCCAGGACCUCCACACUGAGCUAUGUCUUCCACCCCACUCCCACUUUUGAGACAGUCAUAUGAAAUCACUAAGAUGCUCUACUAGGCUGGAACUUGCAGUCUUCCUUCCUCAGCUUCCCAGAGGCUGAGAUUAGAGGUGUGCACCAUCAUGCCCAACUAAAAUGCCUUUUUCCUUUAUCUGCACAUGUGUGUUCACAAGGCAUCUCCUCAUUCUCACACUCAGACACAUUGCUAGAGUAAGGUUGUGUCCAACAUAUCCAGAAACAAACUGGAAAAUGAAGCAGCUCCCAGAGGACAUGUCUCUGCAGGAUUUCAAAUACAACACUCCGUCUCUGCUGCUCAUCGCCAUGUCUCGGGUUUUCUUCCCAGAUUGUACCAAAACAGUGCCAGGACUUGCAUGGAAAUGAGAUAAGAACACUCCAGGCAGAGCACCCAGCAGGGGACACAGGACAUACAGCGAGUGGACAGUGACCAUGACAGGAAAAAUUCAGAAUGAAAAGGGAAAUAGCAGCGAAAGUUUUUGAAAGAAUGGGUAGAGUCAGAUCAUUCGGGCCUGGGGUUUAGGACAGUUAACCUGUGCUUUAAACAUCAAGAAUCAUGGCAGGUUUUUGUAGCAAAAGUAACACGACCAGAACUUUGCUCCAGGAAGAUAAACACAGCAGGUGUGUGAAGUAUUCAAAGUAGGGAGAAA